rnacentral:rRNA from 1 species
GACGAACGCUGGCGGCGUGCCUAAUACAUGCAAGUUGAGCGCUGAAGGUUGGUACUUGUACCGACUGGAUGAGCAGCGAACGGGUGAGUAACGCGUGGGGAAUCUGCCUUUGAGCGGGGGACAACAUUUGGAAACGAAUGCUAAUACCGCAUAAAAACUUUAAACACAAGUUUUAAGUUUGAAAGAUGCAAUUGCAUCACUCAAAGAUGAUCCCGCGUUGUAUUAGCUAGUUGGUGAGGUAAAGGCUCACCAAGGCGAUGAUACAUAGCCGACCUGAGAGGGUGAUCGGCCACAUUGGGACUGAGACACGGCCCAAACUCCUACGGGAGGCAGCAGUAGGGAAUCUUCGG